CGAGGAACCCGCGGCUCGGAUCCGGGAGCGGCGAGGCUGGGUUUAGAAACCCAGUGAGCCUCCCGUUCCAAGGGGCAGUGUAGGGAGGGGUGAGGAGUUUGGGCUUAAAAUGUGUGACCUUGGUAAAUGCUACACAUCGCUGAACUUCUUCGACAACUGGGGACAAUGAUAGCAUCCUCCCCAGUGCGGUGGGAGGAUUCGGUGAGACGCUGUUGGAAAGUCUUAGCACGGUGCCUUGGCAAAAGUGAAGCUCCCUGCAGACCCAUGCUGGUGCUCCCUCUCGGCGCUACAGUGAGUGGCCAGAGGGCUCGGUGUGAGGCCAGGAGACCCGGGCCAGCCUCUGUCUCUGUGACCUUCCCUGGACCUCAGAUUUCCUUCCACGAAGUCAGGAGGGGGUGAGGUCUGCAGGACUCUUCCCACUUACGGUUUUCUGGGGUUUCACCCGUGGCCUAAACGCCUUCAGAAUCGGCGCCCUCUGUCUGGCCCACCCUCCCGCAGAAGGGCAGGGCCAGGUCUCCAGCCCCGCCUUCGCCCUCCCAUCUUCUCAGGAGCACUGAAUGCCCGAGCAAGCAGAAGAGGAAGAGCCAGGUGUCAGAGUUCUGGGAUCCCAGGACAUGAAUCUUUUCCUGCCCCUCGGACAGAGGCUGGGCACAGAGACAGAACCGCUGGCAGGAGCUCUCACCACCUCCAGUGUGCAUUCUGUCCGCUUCCUGCCGUUGGCCUGAGUUGUGGCCUGUAGUUCUGGAUGCAAAUACCCCCACCCCAGCUGCAUGUGACGCAUGCUGAGCCGUCACUGAGCUGGAGGCGCUGUGCUGCGCGUGGCCGUCAAGUCUCACUUUCGUCUCAGAAUCUGGUGGACACCGUCGGUUUCUCCAUUUUACUGAACUUGAGAAAGCUGUGCCCAAUGUCACAUGGUUGUAUUUUCUUCUAUGCAUAUUAAACGUAGCAGAUAUAAUGUGUUCAGCCAAUCCUGGCACGAAUCUGGACUACAUUUCCCAGUCUCCCCUGCAGGAGGCAGCGAAGGACUCCACGACCCUAGGAGACCACCACACUUCUAGUCUGAAGGUGCCUGGAUUCCUGAAUGACCCAGUGGAGUUGAGACCCCCCACUCCCCCUAAUGUUGCCUGAGGGUGAAAUAAACCUUUGUGGGUUAAGUCAGUGGACUCUGGGAUUUGUUUGUUAAAGCAGUUAGCCUGAUACGGUAACAUCAC
rnacentral:lncRNA from 1 species